rnacentral:tRNA from 1 species
CGGAUAUGGUUCAUCGGUAGAACGCCGGCUUCCCAAGCCUGAAAGGAGGGUUCGACUCCCUUUAUCCG